UAAAAAUCAGAGCUAGUAUGUAUAGACAUCUAUAAAAGUCAGGACACAUGGUGAUUAUCUUGGCAAAUGUUAGCUAUUAAUUUUUAUAUUUUGUAAGAGAGAAAAUUGAGCCGACAGAUAGAAAUAGUCAGUGAGACUGAAGAUCUAAUUUCAUCUGUGCUUAUCAAUGACCAGGCAGUGGAUGGUGUUCCCCAAGCAGGUGGUGAUGGAUUCGUUUGGUCUGUGGCACAGUCAGUGAUUAAUCAAGGGGAGGAGAUAUAUGCUGUUUUUGAUCAGUGGUACAACUCAGGGCCAUGGAGCUAGCCAUGGGGAACUCUAGGAUCCUAGAGAAGCUUUCCUACCCAUUUCAAAGCCAUUCAAAUGCAACUUCAGCUCCAAUUUGUGUCCUCUGAUGAAUGAGAAAGGAUUGAAGAACCAUGACACAAUGCUAUGCAUAGAAGUGAAUGGGAAAAAAAGCUGCCCAGCAGAAAAUUAAUGACAAACUUUUCAUACACUUCAACAUCACCCAAAUACUGAUCUUCAGGGACAGUUAAGUUGGUAAACUCUUCAAGGCAUAAGCAUGAGGACCUGAAUUUUGAUUCUCAAGAUCCUGCAAAAUGUUGGGCACGGUGGGUCGUACCUGUAACUCCAAAGCAGGACAGGCAAAGACAGGAAGAUCAUUGGUGCCCAUCAGCUGACCCUGUUUGGAUGGGACACAUUUUUUAGAGGAGCAGAUGACUGAACUACAUGUUACUGUCUGAGGAACAGACUGUGAUAGAGACUGGCCUUAACUACAGUGGGUAGACUAGGCCAACCAUCAAACUGACAAUCUUUUUGACUCUUUCUUCUAAGACUCAAAAAUUCAAAGCUGAAGAAACAUAACAGGAAGAUGGAUGCCAACUACAUCAGAUUUUAGUGUUCAGAACAUGGAGGACAUGGUAUCCAGCUAGAGGUGGAAAUGGAAAGAAAAUUGCAAAGCCAAGCUCAACUUGAAGUGAAGUUGGUGAGAGGUGUUGAUGACUCACAAAGAACUGGUACUGCUAGACACAGAGGAAAGCAGGUGGAUUCCAGCUGUAUUUUGGAGAUUUAAUAUACACGGCCCCAUGUAUGUUUAUUGAAUGCAAGAGUUAAGAAAGAGGGAUAAUGAGAUUAUUCUUAUGUUACAUCACCUUGAUUGUUGUGAAGAACAUCUGAAAGGACAUCCAUGAGACAAUCUAGACAGUACCUUUUCAGCCUGCUCUCCACAAAGAGACAUUUCCUCCCAAACAGUUGGAUGAUGAUGUUCAACCAAUGUCCAUUAAUGGGGGACUAUGAUCUGGUAUGUGGUGUCUUCAGCAAUGAGGUCUCUUCAUCUACUCUGGUGAGCAAGAGCCCAGGACCUCCCCAGGCAAGUCAUACAGAGAUAUGAAGGUAUUCCACGUCUGGGACUUGAGUUUUUGUCUGGAAAUUCAUAGGUUAUAGGAGCACCAAUAUGGAGUCAUGCAGAAUAUUUCUCUUGUAAUAUUUUUAUUAUAAAUUUUAAUUAAUUAACUAAUUAAUAUUUUAUUGGUUUUUCAAGACUGGAUUUCUCUGUGUAACAGUCUUGUCUGUUAUGGAACUUGCUUUGUAGACUAGGCUAGCCUAAAACUCAUAGGAAUUCAUCUGCUUCUGCCUCCCUAGUGCUGGGAUUAAAGGCAUGUGCCACCUCCAAGCUUAAUUAUGAAUUUUAUUUGGGUUAAAGGGUAGUAUUUUUCACAUACCUUUCAUUUUUGUUAACUAUGUCUCCCACUUCCUCAUCUCCUCCAUCUUUCACUCUCUCCCCUGCUUAAAGUUUUCUGCUUCCAGUAUCCCUCCUUUCUGCUUUCAUUUCAUACAUGUUCUACUAAUCUACCUCUCUUAAUGUCUACCUGCAGUAUCUCUUUCUAGCUUCCUGAUUUUUUUUACAGGUGUUCCAAGUUGAACACAAAAAAAUAAAGUUUUGAAGGUAGAAUCCCCACAUGAGUGAAGUCAUGUGGUGUUUGUCUUUCUGUGUCCAACUUAUUCAGUAUAGUUUUUUUCCAGCUUUAUCCAUUUUUCUGCAUAUUUUAUAAUUUCAUUAUUCUUUGCAUACUAAUAAAACUUCAUUGUAUAUGUACCAAGGUUUUAUUAUCCAUUUAUAAGUUGAUGGAUAUCUAGGCCGAUUUUUAUUUACUUGCUGUUGGAAAUAGAACGGCAAUGACAUGAAUGUACAGUAUAUUUGGGUAUAUGCCCAAGAGUGGUAUAGCUGGAUCAUAUGUUAAUUCUGUUUCUAGUUUUGAGAAAUCUUCAGACUAAAUUCCACACUUAUUAUUGCUGCUUAGUUAAAUUGGCAGACAUCAAACUGCCUUCUAAACGUCUAUGUUUAUACUCAUAGAAAAAAUGUUAUUCUCAGGCUGGGCAGUAGUGGCUCACACCUUCAGUCUCAGCACUUGGGAGGCAGAGACAGGCAGAUCUCUGUGAGUCUGAGGUCAGCCUGGUCUACAGAGCUAGUUCCAGGACAGCUAGUUAGUUACAUAGAGAAACCCUGUCUUGAAAAACAAACAAAAAAUUUGUUACUCUCAGCUUUAAUCACAAAAGUCUUUUUUGUUUGUUUGUUUGUUUUUGGUUUUUAGAGACAGGGUUUCUUUGUGUAGCUUUGGGCCUUUCCUGGAACUCACUCUGUAGCCCAGGCUGGCCUGGAACUCACAGAGAUCCACUUGGCUCUGCCUGCCGAGUGCUGCUGGUAUUAUAGGUGUGUGCCACCACUGCUCAGCAGAAAAGACUUUUAUUUUGCAGUGACCAGUGAUGAACGAAGAGGCUCACAGCUGCUUAAGGACUCAAGAGGACAACAGAGAUGCUAUUUAUCAUGGGUCCCACAAUUUCCCAGAGCACUUCUGAGUUAAUUUGAUAAUAUUAACUGAAGAGAGGCCCAUAUCACAAAGUGUUAUAAUUUUAGGCUGAAAAGACCUUGUGGUGUUGUUGCAAAUAUGAAAUUCAUACCCCUAUGCUCCAAAUAACACCGUAGAUGGUGCAGACAUAUCAGGAAGGGGUAAAAAAAACCAGCCGUUUGAUGGUGGAGGUAGUGUGAGGGCUUGAUGUGUCUAGAAGCAAAGAUCAGAGCAGGUUGUUACAAAGUACUUUUCAGGUAUUCUAAAGAGCACCUGAGACAGUUCUGAUGUGGAAGACAUGGCUGGGAUCUGAAGCAUGAGAAACUGCUCACUGCCCAACUCAAGAAUCGGUCAUACUGAGAAGUUUUCAGCUUGCCGUGUCUUCACUGAAUGAGGUUGAAGAAAUGAGUAUUCUCUGAAAUAUGGUUUCAUCAUCCUUAAAAACAAGAAAGUAACUUUUCCUUGCCUGGCAUUAUGAACUCACAAUGGAUAGAAGGCACACAGGCCAAUGUCUCGUACAGAGAAACAGAUCUGGUAUAAACAUUAUGCAUUCAUGCUGUAGAUUCUUUGAUUCCUCUAUCAGGAAGAAUUGCCUACCUUGUGCUUGCCCAACAUAGAUGAUUGCUGAGCAACAUUAUUCUUUGCCAUAUAUGCUGUUGAUGUGUCUGUCUGUUUCUCCACUUAAAGUAUGAGUCCAAAAUUCACCUAGUUAUGGUUGAGUGUGAACUGUCCUGCACGGAUUUAGAUGUUUGAAUGCUUGGUACCAAGAUGAUACCACCAUUUGGGAAGGUUGUGGAACUUUCAGGAGGAGGAGACUUGCUGGUGGAAAUGGAUCAUUGGAGGUGAACACAACGCUUCCUAUUUCAUCUCUGCUUCCUGAAUGUGGAUAUAAUGUGAUCAGCCAGCCUCCUGGUCUUGUCACCAUGCCUAUUGCCACAUCUUUCCCUGCAUGAUGGAGUGCACCCCACUGGAAUUGCAAGACAAAAUAAAGCAGUGAGAAAUUA